rnacentral:misc_RNA from 1 species
AUCAAGUGAUCCCAGUGGUCUCUUCUUCUUUUCUAUCCAGAAAAUUGAUUUUCUCAAGCUCUUCAUUUCUGAUAACAGGCAGCAAUCAAUAGACACCCAUUUUUCUUCCUUUACAAAAUUAUGGCUGCAAAAUCCCAGUUAGUUUCAGGAUUGACCUUGCCAUUGCCACCACCGCAUCCCACCACUUCGUCUUUGCCCUCCUCUAACCACAGCAGCAGCAGCAGCAGCAA